rnacentral:lncRNA from 1 species
UCGAUCCCCCCAAACAACUCCAUCCCUCUCAACUCCCCUAAUCUCUUAUCUCUCAUACCCAGCCCUAAUUGGGUUCACAGCAGAAGAAGAAAUCGAAGAUCUAAGACCUUCUCAUCUUGGCUCUCCUCUUCCUCGACACCUUAGGUCGUGCUGAUCGAGAUUUCGAUAUCCACCCACUACCCCACUGGUCCAAGAAUCCUUAUCUUGGUAUUUCUUCUUCGGCAUCUUGGUUACUGCUUCGCUGUCCUUCGUUACUGCUCUUCUUCUUUUGCCGGUAAAUCUUCUCUCCCUUCUUCAUCUAUUGUUUGUUAUUACUUGAUUUGUUCUUAUUAAUCUUUAUAAAUCGAUUGUUCAUUAUUGCUUUGUUGGUAUUUCUUUUUCAAAUCCCUUUUUUGUUUGAUUAGUGUGAAUUUUUGGUGAUUUCGAAAUAUUAAACCCCUUUUGGUGGUUACUGAGAAUUCUUGGUGAUUUCAUCUAUUGGUGAUUAUUGUGAAUUCUUGGUGAUUUCAAACCCCCUUUUUCAAAUCUCCUUCACUGCUUUUGGUGAUUUUUUGUUGGCAUCCCAAAAUAUGUUGUUAUUAGACUUGGGGAAAAUGCUAUUUAACAAAAUUUCGCAGCUUUGAAGGUUUGUUAUAUAAUGAUUUUGGGGUUUGUACAGUUUGCCUUUCGGUAGGUGAGAGUCCAUAUGCGUUGUUUAUUCCGAAUGUUGUAUAUGGCAUUGUAAGUAAAUUUGGUUGUGCCUUUGCGUUGAAUGAAGAUAAAUCUCUUUUAUUUCUUGUUUCUGUUAUACUUUCCCCCCUGUUAAUUAUGAGGUUCUUAGUUAACUGCCUUGAUCGAAAGUCUAGGAUGAUAUUAAGCGUUUUGUUCACUUGAAGCCAUACUAUUGUUGCCCAAAGAAAUCCUGAAGGCACAAGGAUUAUUCCCAGAUCAGAGAAUUGGAUGAAAAAAGGAGUGCCAAGUGUGUCGAAAAACUUUUCUUACCCUUUUUCUAAGUAGUUCUCAUAGUCUUCUGGUGCUUGAUGUUUCAUAGAUAUGGAACAAAUUGCUUCCUAUUUUCUUGUUGUUACAGUUAGAGAUAUGUUUCAUAGAUUAAUAACAUUAUAUAGUUUAUAAACAGUCUUUAAAAAUAUAAUCUUAGGAAUAAAACACUAAAAAAUCAAAACAAAACAACAUUCAUUAAAUUGGUUAUCCAAUUUGUUAAACAAUUUGUACAUAACAAAAAUUGUUUACAAUAGUAAACAAGAUGAAUAUUGAAUGUAAAUUUUAAUUGUCUAUAAGAGUAUGCAAGUAAAAAUAUCAUUCAACACUACUUCUUACUCAUUCAAUCAUAAAUUUGUACUGAAUCGUUCACACCCAUUCAGAGUUUAAAAAGUGUUAAACAAACGGAUCGAAUAACUUAUUCGGUCAGAUUUAUACUCAUUCAAAGCUUGAAAUAUCAAAGGCCUUGCAUUUUGACACCUCUUUUUACAUGUAAUGUGUAUAACCUCAGGUUUUGGCUGCGGCAGCCAAUGCGGCUUCAUUUCGAG